CGUUGUUGCUCCUAGACGUUUUCACUUCAAAAACAGCACUUAAAAUUUGACCUACCUAUGAUGGUGCCACGUUGAAAAUCAAUGAGCUCUUCAGUAAGGCCAUUCUACUGCUAAUGUUUGUCAAUGGAGAUUGCGUGGCUGCGUGCUCGAUUUUAUACACCUGUCAGCAACAGGUGUGGCUGUAAUAGCCAAAUUCACUAAUUUGAAGACGUGUCCACAUACUUAUGUAUAUAUAGUGUAUUUUCUACAGAUGGUCAUACUAUCAACAAACUGUUGUUAAUAAACUGCUUGCUAGGGUUAGAAAAAGGCUUUGGUUUAGGUUUAGAAUAAGGCUUUGGUUUAGAAUAAGGCUUUAGUUUAGGUUUAGAAUAAGGCUUUAGUUUAGAAUAAGGCUUUAGUUUAGAAUAAGGCUUUGGUUUAGGUUUAGAUUGAAGACAUUUAUUCACUUCUCAACUGUUUUAUUUGAUGUUUGUAUUGAUUGUUUCAUUACAAUAUUUAAAGCUUAUACUAGCAUCUACAUCUCUACAGUUGAUGAAUUAUGCCUAGCUCUGUGUGUGUGUGUGUGUGUGUGUGUGUGUGUGUGUGUGUGUGUGUGUGUGUGUGUGUGUGUGUGUGUGUGUGUGUGUGUGUGUGUGUGGGGGGGGGGGUGUGUGUGUGUGUGUGUGUGUGUGUGUGUGUGUGUGUGUGGGUGUG
rnacentral:lncRNA from 1 species